rnacentral:rRNA from 1 species
UACGUAGGGGGCAAGCGUUGUCCGGAAUCAUUGGGCGUAAAGAGCGUGUAGGCGGCCCGGUAAGUCCGCUGUGAAAGUCCAGGGCUCAACCCUGGAAUGCCGGUGGAAACUGUCGGGCUAGAGUCCGGAAGAGGCGAGUGGAAUUCCUGGUGUAGCGGUGAAAUGCGCAGAUAUCAGGAAGAACACCCGUGGCUAAGGCGGCUCUCUAGUACGGUACUGACGCUGAGACGCGAAAGCGUGGGGAGCGAACAGG